rnacentral:rRNA from 1 species
UACAUGGGGUGCAAACGUUGCUCGGAAUUAUUGGGCGUAAAGCGCACGUAGGUGGUCUGUUAUGUCAGAUGUGAAAGCCCUCGGCUUAACUGAGGAAGUGCACCUGAAACUGGCAGGCUUGAGUACGAAAGAGGGUCGCGGAAUUCCCGGUGUAGAGGUGAAAUUCGUAGAUAUCGGGAGGAACACCGGUGGCGAAGGCGGCAUCCUGGACCGACACUGACGCUGAGGAGCGAAAGCCAGGGGAGCAAACGGG